rnacentral:misc_RNA from 1 species
AACCCUCAAGCCCCAGCGGCCUGGUGUUGGGGACCGGCGACCUCGUCCGCCGCCCCCGAAAUGAAUUGGCGGCCUCGUCGCGGCCUCCUCUGCGUAGUAGCACAACCUCGCAAGCGGGAGCGCGACGCGGCCACUGCCGUAAAACGCCCAACUUUUUUAGAGUUGACCUCGGAUCAGGUAGGAAUACCCGCUGAACUUAA